rnacentral:rRNA from 1 species
UGCAGUCGAGCGGACAGAAGGGAGCUUGCUCCCGGAUGUUAGCGGCGGACGGGUGAGUAACACGUGGGUAACCUGCCUGUAAGACUGGGAUAACUCCGGGAAACCGGAGCUAAUACCGGAUAGUUCCUUGAACCGCAUGGUUCAAGGAUGAAAGACGGUUUCGGCUGUCACUUACAGAUGGACCCGCGGCGCAUUAGCUAGUUGGUGGGGUAAUGGCUCACCAAGGCGACGAUGCGUAGCCGACCUGAGAGGGUGAUCGGCCACACUGGGACUGAGACACGGCCCAGACUCCUACGGGAGGCAGCAGUAGGGAAUCUUCCGCAAUGGACGAAAGUCUGACGGAGCAACGCCGCGUGAGUGAUGAAGGUUUUCGGAUCGUAAAGCUCUGUUGUUAGGGAAGAACAAGUGCGAGAGUAACUGCUCGCACCUUGACGGUACCUAACCAGAAAGCCACGGCUAACUACGUGCCAGCAGCCGCGGUAAUACGUAGGUGGCAAGCGUUGUCCGGAAUUAUUGGGCGUAAAGGGCUCGCAGGCGGUUUCUUAAGUCUGAUGUGAAAGCCCCCGGCUCAACCGGGGAGGGUCAUUGGAAACUGGGAAACUUGAGUGCAGAAGAGGAGAGUGGAAUUCCACGUGUAGCGGUGAAAUGCGUAGAGAUGUGGAGGAACACCAGUGGCGAAGGCGACUCUCUGGUCUGUAACUGACGCUGAGGAGCGAAAGCGUGGGGAGCGAACAGGAUUAGAUACCCUGGUAGUCCACGCCGUAAACGAUGAGUGCUAAGUGUUAGGGGGUUUCCGCCCCUUAGUGCUGCAGCUAACGCAUUAAGCACUCCGCCUGGGGAGUACGGUCGCAAGACUGAAACUCAAAGGAAUUGACGGGGGCCCGCACAAGCGGUGGAGCAUGUGGUUUAAUUCGAAGCAACGCGAAGAACCUUACCAGGUCUUGACAUCCUCUGACAACCCUAGAGAUAGGGCUUUCCCUUCGGGGACAGAGUGACAGGUGGUGCAUGGUUGUCGUCAGCUCGUGUCGUGAGAUGUUGGGUUAAGUCCCGCAACGAGCGCAACCCUUGAUCUUAGUUGCCAGCAUUUAGUUGGGCACUCUAAGGUGACUGCCGGUGACAAACCGGAGGAAGGUGGGGAUGACGUCAAAUCAUCAUGCCCCUUAUGACCUGGGCUACACACGUGCUACAAUGGACAGAACAAAGGGCUGCGAGACCGCAAGGUUUAGCCAAUCCCAUAAAUCUGUUCUCAGUUCGGAUCGCAGUCUGCAACUCGACUGCGUGAAGCUGGAAUCGCUAGUAAUCGCGGAUCAG